UACGGAGGGUGCGAGCGUUGUCCGGAAUCACUGGGCGUAAAGGGCGCGUAGGCGGCCUGGCAAGUCGGUGGUGAAAGCUCGGGGGCUCAACUCCCGAGUCGGCCAGUCGAUACUGCGAGGCUCGAGUCGACUAGAGGCAGAUGGAAUUCCGGGUGUAGCGGUGGAAUGCGUAGAUAUCAGGAGGAAUACCUAUGGCGAAAGCAGGAUACGUGGGCCAUCACUGACGCUGAGCUGCGAAAGCUAGGGGAGCAAACAGG
rnacentral:rRNA from 1 species